rnacentral:misc_RNA from 1 species
GAUGAAGAACGCAGCGAAAUGCGAUAAGUAGUGUGAAUUGCAGAAUUCAGUGAAUCAUCUAAUCUUUGAACGCACAUUGCGCCCCUUGGUAUUCCAUGGGGCAUGCCUGUUCGAGCGUCAUUUGUACCUUCAAGCUCUGCUUGGUGUUGGGUGUUUGUCUCGCCUCUGCGUGUAGACUCGCCUCAAAACAAUUGGCAGCCGGCGUAUUGAUUUCGGAGCGCAGUACAUCUCGCGCUUUGCACUCAUAACGACGACGUCCAAAAGUACAUUUUUACACUCUUGACCUCGGAUCAGGUAGGGAUACCCGCUGAACUUAAGCAUAUCAAUAAGCUGAGGA